GGCCCAGUGGCCUAAUGGAUAAGGCAUCAAGCCUUCGGAGCUUGAGGAUUGUGGGUUCGAGUCCAUCUGGGUCA
rnacentral:tRNA from 1 species